GGCACAAGAGGAAGGUUCUUAUUCAAUCAGGUCACAGCUGUUGGCUUGCUCCAAUUCUGGCUUGCUGUCAUUGUUUUGGGUGCCUCCGCCGAUUUGAAGUUUCUUGAGCAUCAAUAUCCUAAAUGUUUUCUUGGUCUGAGUUGGUUUUCCUUCUUCCUUCCCAAAUUUUGUAUUCUGACACAAUACAAACAAGAGUUUGGACAGAGUAGCCAUUAGGAAAUAAAAAACACAACAAAUAGGCUUUUGAAGCUACAGGUAACACGACCAAGGUGAGAUUUUGUGUUUUGGAAAAUCAAAUGGAACAAGUUGGCUGUGGUGACAGAUAUUAACUGCCUCCGUUCAGGUUAAUUCAGUCAGAAUUCCACAGGCAGUCAGCUGGAGGGGUGGAUGAAUCCGGGAAUAGCCGGUUUCCUUGCAACUAAAUGAAGCCCAAUAUCAUUAUGGAUUCUUGCAUUUCUUUGGCUUUUUUCUCUUUUUUCUUAUUUAUCAUGGUUUGUAAUGAAUUUUCUGAUGUGAGCUUUGGUUUUGAGGCUGCAAUAUGGAGUUCAGGGCACCGGAGGAAUGGUCUUUUUCAAUCAGGGCACAGCUGCUGGCUUGCUCCAAUUCUGGCUUGCUGUCAUUGUUUUGGGUGCCUCCGCCGAUUUGAGGUUUCUUGAGUGGCAAUUUCCUAAACGUUUUCUGAGUCUCAGUUGUUUUUGUCCUCUUCCUUCCCAAAUUUUGUAUUCUGACGUAAUACAAGCAAGAUUUUGGACAGAAUAGACAUUAUGAAAUAAAAAACACAUCAAAUAGGCUUUUGAAAGCUACAGGUAACACGACCAAGGUGAGAUUUUGUGUUUUGGAAAAAGAUAUGGAACACUUUUGCUGAGGUGACAGAUAUUAAUUGCCUCCAAACCGAGUUUCACAGCGAAUUUCAUUUUAAUUCAGUCAGAAACCACAGACACUCAGCUGGGAGGUGUAGAAGAAUCUGGAAACAGCCAUUAACAAGGGAAUAAAUCAAGCCCAAUAUCACUAAGAACUCCUGCAUUUCUUUGGAUUUUUUCUGAUUUUUCUUUUUUAUCAUGGUUUGUAAUGAAUUUUCUGAUCUGAGGUUUGGUUUUGAGGUUGCAAUAUCGAGUUCAGGACACCGGAGGAAUGGUCUUUUUCAAUCAGGGCACAGCUGUUGGCUUGCUCCAAUUCUGUCUUGCUUUCAAGGUUUUGGCUUCCUCAGCGGCCCUUUGUUUCUUGAGCGGCAAUUUCCUAAAUGUUUUCUGGGUCUGAGUUGGUUUUGCCUUCUUCCUUCCCAAAUUUUGUAAUCUGACGCAAUAGAAACAAAAGUUUGGGCAGAGUAGCCAUUAUGAAAUAAAAAACACAACAAAUAGGCGUUUGAAGCUUAGAAAUCUACAGGUAACACAACCAAGGUGAGUUUUUGUGUUUUGGAAAAUCAAAUGGAACACUUUGGCUGAGGUGACAGAUAUUAAUUGCCUCCAAACUGAGUUUCACUGCGAUUUUCAGGUUAAUUCAGUCAGAAUUCCACAGGCAGUCAGCUGGAGGGGUGGAUGAAUCCGGGAACAGCCCGUUUCCUUGCGACUGAAUCAAGCCCAAUGUCAUUAUGGAUUCUUGCAUUUCUUUGGCUUUUUUCUCAUUUUUCUUAUUUAUCAUGGUUUGUAAUGAAUUUUCUGAUGUCAGCUUUGGUUUUGAGUCUGCAAUAUGGAGUUCAGGGCACCAGAGGUAUGGUCUUUUUCAAACAGGGCACAGCUGUUGUGCUGCUCCAAUUCUGGCUUGCUGUCAUUGUUUUGAGUGCCUCAGCCGAUUUGUGGUUUCUUGAGCGGCAAUUUCCUAAAUGUUUUCUGGGU